CGGCAGCAUGAUCUAGCUUGCUAGAUUGAUGGCGAGUGGCGAACGGGUGAGUAAUACAUCGGAACGUGCCCUGUAGUGGGGGAUAACUAGUCGAAAGAUUAGCUUAAUACCACAUACGACCUGAGGGUGAAAGUGGGGGACCGCAAGGCCUCAUGCUAUAGGAGCGGCCGAUGUCUGAUUAGCUAGUUGGUGAGGUAAAGGCUCACCAAGGCGACGAUCUGUAACUGGUCUGAGAGGAUGAUCAGUCACACCGGAACUGAGACACGGUCCGGACUCCUACGGGAGGCAGCAGUGGGGAAUAUUGGACAAUGGGGGCAACCCUGAUCCAGCCAUGCCGCGUGUGUGAAGAAGGCCUUUUGGUUGUAAAGCACUU
rnacentral:rRNA from 1 species